GAGAUGUGUGAUGACGCAUAUCAAUAAGCGGAGGAAAAGAAACUAACAAGGAUUCCCUUAGUAACGGCGAGUGAAGCGGGAAGAGCUCAAAUUUGAAAUCUUCAAGGUUCUACCUUGACGAAUUGUAGUUUAUAGAAGUGUUUUCUGUUAGUAGGAGUGGCAAAAGUUCUUUGGAAUAGGACAUCAUAGAGGGUGAGAAUCCCGUAUUUGGUCAUUCCUUCUAGCGUUGUGAUACACUUUCAACGAGUCGGAUUGUUUGGGAAUGCAGUCCAAAAUGGGUGGUAAAUUUCAUCUAAAGCUAAAUAUUGGCGAGAGACCGAUAGCGAACAAGUACCGUGAGGGAAAGAUGAAGAGAACUUUGAAAAGAGAGUUAAACAGUACGUGAUAUUGUCAAAAGGGAAGCGUUUGACACCAGUGUUGUUUUUCCGAAAAUCAAUUACGAAUGUUUUGUUUUUGAGAAGUUAUGACUUCAUCGGCUUGCUUCUUUCUUUAUGAAACUUUCUUAAUGCACUUUUCGGUUAACAAGUCAACAUCAAUUUCUUUUGUUGUAAAAGGGUACGAGGAAGGUGGCUUUCUUUUCGGAGAAAGUGUUUAUAGCCUUGUACCUCUGCAAUCGGAGAGAUUGAGGUCUGCAGCGUAGAUCCUUCGGGGUUAGAUACAUUUGUGCUAAGUUAUAGCUUUUCUUAGACAACUUGUUGACUAUGUUAAGUCUUGUAGCUUACUCGCUUAUGCUAUUUUACCUACGCUUAGGAUGUUGACGAUCAGCUGAGCGCG
rnacentral:rRNA from 1 species